CACAAAUUCAUUUGGCCAGUCAGGUGGACUUGAGUCCUGGCCUCCAAAGGAAAAAGACUCUUGCUUUCUUCAUCAAGUUUUCACACUUAGGGACCACACCUCCUGGGCCACUGGGAAGAGUCCUGGAUUAAAGGCUGGAUGCGGAAGGUGAAGCAAACAUUCCUAUAUUCCACUCUAGUUAGAAUGAUGGCAGGCUGCAUCUUCUUACUCAAAGACUUCAGGGCUAAAAUUUGAGAAGUGCUAAGGGGCCCAGAAGAACUCUGGAUAAUUCUCAACACUGGGAUAACUGAAAGGAAGGAUUCUCAUUGUCUAUAUGCCUCAUAACCUGUCUGUAAUGUGUUUGCAAAUACUAAGUGUGAUUGGAUGGUUUAGGGGUCUUUUAAUAGCCAAUAUGUAUUCCACAGUUUCAAGAAAAACCUCAGAAACUGGAAAAUGCUGUGUAGAGGAGAGGGGUUUAUCAAAUAAUAGAAAUCCUCUUUCAUUUGCCGCCAUAUUAUUUUGAGGACAACUAUGUCAGAGGUUGGGCUAAGAUAUCCCAGGGAUGAUUCUCAGAUGAUUCAAAUGGCUUGAAAGCAUUGGCAAUAGAGAAGUUGUCUCUGGAAUUGGAAUUAUAGUGUUGCAUUCUGUUCUCAGCUGCACUUGUGCAAAUUAGGUCCACAUACUUUAUGGUGGAGUUAGUUUUCAGUGAAGAUAUACUCCUUUUUUCUCCAGAAUACAUAAUCUGCCUAUUUUUCAGAUUAAAUAGAGUUGUGGCAAAUUCUCCUCUUGCUGGGCCAAAUUCAAGUGCAUUCAUUAAGAUUUCACAGGGCAGAAUUUGGCCCAAAUAAUCUGAAAAAUGACAGUGUGUCCCCUUAAAAUAGACAGCGUUUGGAUGUGAAACCUUUUAUGUUGUAUAAUUAAUUAGAUACAUGUUGUGCUAUAAUAUUAUAUAUUAGAUGUAGCAAUUAUACUAAGGGUUUAAUUAUUCUAAUGAAAGUGCCUAACUUAUUUGUGUAAUUCAUUUGUUAAGUCUGAACAAUGGAAUAUGUGAGUGGAUUUGGCUAUGUGUUCUGUAUCCCCUGAAAAAAUGAGACAGGACAUCUCAAGAGAUGAUCCUGGUGAACAAAAAUAUUUAAUAAGAAAUAUCUACAGUAAAUAAACUCAAUACCGGCAGAUUGAUCUAAAGAUAAGGGGGUUUUCCUUUAGAUUUUUGCUGUCACAUUGAUAAAAGGGACACACAUUUUUCAGAUCUUUGCACACUAACAAAUGUAUCUCAUUCAAAAUACAUGCAGUGAACCUACAGUAAGUGGAAUUAAAUUGUACGUCUGUACUGAGGAUGGCAAUCCAGCGAUUUUUUUCUUGUUUGAAUUAUCUCCUGGGUGGUUGAGCACAAUUGUAAUUGAAACUAUAAUGUUUCAUCUCUUUUAGGCUAUUAUUUAUCUGAAAAGUUCAUCCACUACUGUUCUAAAUUCCUUCCAGAAAUCAUUUUCUUCCACUCAUGUUGAAUCCAUCCUCUCCUGCAUCAAAGUGGUCCUUGAUUUUGACCUGGCUUAGAUUUCUAUUGGAUGGCAAUUCUGACACUUAAGUAAAUAUAGCAUUAACUGGUUUAAAGAAAUCUAUUAUGUGUAACUCUGUACAUGAUUGAACAGGACUUUCCAUGACAAGGAUAAAUGUAGAGCUCAGUAGUUUUUUUUCCUUCACAGGGGGUUUUGUGUGAAUAUUUUCUUCAGUUUCAAUCCGAGUUUCACUCCCCCAGAGGUUUGCUUUUAGUUUGGGGUUCAAAUUAACCCCAAAUCACAAAGUGAAACUCAGUCAUAUCACUGACUUUCACUUGAUUUUCCAUCAAAACCAUGAAUUCUGAAUGAUUUUGAUGCAAAACCACCAAUCAGCCCCACGUGUUUUGAAAUAGGCCCUAAUGAUCUUUCCAACGAACCUGAUCUGAUUUCUGGGGUACCUAACAAAAUUCCAGACUAGAACCGAAUUUAACUGGUUAGUCUGGAUCCAGAAAUCAAACCCUUCAAAUGUCAGAUUUUGUCUCAGACCAGGCCACGUGUGAAAUUCAGAUAGGGAUCCAACUUGGAUGUCAAAUGUUCCCAAUGUUCAGGGAAUGUUCAGAUCUAAGGUUUUUGCUGAUGCCCAUCGCUACCAGAAAUCUAGCAUGUGUUUUGCAUUUUGAGGGUGUUCAAAGAUGAUGAAAAAAGAAAAAACUUUUUCAAGAGUAUAACAUGAAUGCCUAGGGCUCCAGGCUGCCACGAAAUAAACUCUGCUUAGCUCAGGAAAUGUGCAAGUAAUGCUCUUUAUAACAUUCAAAAUGCCUUAAGUGUUAGGACACAACCAUAUCUCAAUAUCCCAGCCUCACUAUUUCCUUGGGGUACAGACAUUAACCAUAAUAUGGGGAAUACAAGUUCUCGUACAUAUGGUGAUGGCUGAACUGUUAUAUGUGGGGUUUAUCUGUUUCAUGUGUUGUGAUUCUUGGGGACUUGAUCUUUCCCCUACUGAGGCCAAUAUAUCAAGACCCGGACUAUCAACCAGAGUGCAUGGACAUAGAUAGGUACCUGCAGAGUGAUCAAUGCAAACUAUAUUGCAUCUCAGACCAUUGUUUUCUGUAUAUGUCUGGUAUUGGUUUUUCCAUUACUCAGUUCUCAUACACUGUUCCCAUGCACUAUGCGUAUGUCUGCUGUGGCUACCAUCCCGGUGUGUGUGUUUGUGUGUAUGUAUGUGUGUGCAUGCAUGCAUGUGCUGCUGGGCAUAUGCCCGGGUAGCAAAUGGAUUGCAUGUCACUGGAUACUAUCCAUUUAUAAGCAAUUUCAAAUCUGUUCUCACAUAAUAUUGAUAAACAGAAGAAAACAAACUAUUUUACUCACCCAUGAAAUCUGACAUUUCCAAAGACAGUAUCAGAUUACUCUUCCUAUGUACUUAUAGAAAGCUAGAUUGAUGGAUAGAUAGAAGUUUGUUCAUGCUGAGCGGUAGCACCUAGUUUCUGAGCUUUCAGACUGAGGCUAGGUCUACGCUACCUGCCUGAAUCGACGGGUAGAAAUCAAUCUCUCGGGGAUCGAAUUAUCGCGUCUCGUCAGGACGCGACAAUCGAUCCCCGAAUCGACGCUCUUACUCCACCAGCGGAGGUGGGAGUAAGCGCCGUCGACGGGGAGCCGCGGAGGUCGAUUUUGCCGCCGUCCUCACAGCGGGGUAAGUCGGCUCUGAUAGGUCGAAUUCAGCUACGCUAUUCGCGUAGCUGAAUUUGCGUAUCUUAAAUCGACCCCCCGCUGUAGUGAAGACCUGCCCUGAGACAGGCUGAUGCAAACGGGUAUAUGUUUUCCUUUCAAAUACUAAGAAACACAAGAGCUGCACUAUGUGUCACAGGAUUACUUUUUAUUUUUUUUCAAAUGGAACAAUAAUCUUGCAGGGAUUGUCCAAAAUCCAUGCAGAGUCCCCAAUGCAGAAGCUUUCAGUGGGAACUUAACAUUAGCAGAUCUAUUUUUACAAAACACGUGUUGCUGGCCAGCUGCCUACAUAAAGAUGUCUGCAGAAUGCCAAUUGUUCCUAUCAAAAGUGUGGAAAAAACUGUGCUUUUGCAACAACUUUAAUGGGAGAAAUUAAAUGGGCAUACUGUGUUGUGUUAUGAACGGAAGGCUUCUUUUUGUCCAUAUCAUGUCUCCUCGUGGGGCCCUCCACUCUCUGAAAAGCAGCAGGCUUCAGGAUCCAGAGUUAAGCUUGUCUGGGAAUAUGAUGAAAGAAUAUCAAGAGCACCAGUUAAGCAUUUUAGCAGCCAACAGACCUCUCUUAAAUCAGUCUUCAUAGAUAAGCUCAGCUGCAUGUGUGCAUUUGACAGUAUAACUCUGCACUAGGGCUAGAAUACCAGGAUGUUUCUCUUAAAAGUGGACAAAUCUCUUUGACUAACUCCAUCCUUCUUCUAACCGGAGCUUUUAUUUGUGUCUGGAUUGUCAUCUGGGGAGAGUGAAGAAUCUCCUUCGAUUUUGCUUUCGGAGUAUUUUGACUUGUGUGAAACUGACAAGCCAGAAAGUGGGAAAGUUAGAGCCAAAGGAGAAGUGAGGGGUCCCAGAAAGAGGGCGGAGAGAAGGAAAUCAGAGAUCUCUAUUGCCUAGAGGAACAGAAAAAUCCCCAAGGAAGAAAACAAAAAGAGAUUGAAGAGAAAUAACAAGGCUAAAUAAGAUUUAAAGGACAUCCUAGGCCAAUUUCUAGAUGUUGGACUUUCAAAGGAUGUUAAAAUUCUGCAUUUGGAUCCUCGCAUUGGCACUUGGGUGCCUAAAAAGGGCAUUUGUGUGUCCGUCUGAGCAGUGGGAUUUUCACAUCCCAGUAAGGCUGCCUGCAACAGCACUGUCUCUUCCAGAGUGGUCCCUCAUGGCCAGAGUUCUCUUUGCAGCAAUCUCCCUCUAUUCUUCUUCUUCCGGGCCCUUACAGAUUCCCCAGAGCCUUUCUUAUACAUCCCUCCGGCCUCCACUUGGAGCUGGCUUCAUGCCCGCAAACAGUGCCAAACAGUCCCACCAGAAAAGUCCAUCACUGCAAUCCAAAGGCUCAUACACCACCUCUGGCUCUCCUGCCAUCUCCAUAGAGCUCUUCCCCUGCCACAGCUUGCUCAUCACAGGGGUCACUUUUCAUAGCUGCCGUUUAGCCUCCUGGCUCUAGCUGCCUGCUCUUGCCAGUGUCUCCCGUGUUCUGAGGGCGAGGGCGGUCUGCGUACUGCCCCUCUCCAGGCUGGCUGGAAUAAGGGGAGCCCUGACCCAUCCUAAACCACAGGGCUUCCAAUCCUGGGCCCUUGAAGAAACAGCAUCCUGAGGUUUCCCCUCAGCCAACUCCUAAUUCCCUAACUCCUUCUUCUCUUCCAUUACCAGGACAUUUCCUGGGCCUUUGUUCAUUCCAACCCCUGGAGCUGGGUCUUCUGGCCCCCUCUACUCUUUAAAGGUUAAUAUACCUUGUUACAGGUCCACAUUUAAAAACUGGGCUAGCUUAGGGUAACGUGGGCCGUGGAUCUAAAUGCAAAAGAAAGACCAUCAAACACACAAGGAGAGAGAUGUUUUGUACGAAAAGGGAGCUGAGGAGAGUGGAGGACGGAGUGCUCGGGUGCGCCUUUGAUCAGGAAUAAAAGCGUCUGCUUCAAGGCAACGUUAUUUCGCUCUAAGGCAACAUAGGCCAAAUUCAUCCCAUUGGUGACUCUGCUGGAUUCAGUACAGCUACAGGGAUAAACCGGGUCUAAUACUAGAAAAAGCUCCUCCUUCACCUGCCUGAAUUCAGGGUCCUUGUGUUUCCCCUUCAAAUCCAAGGACAGCACUAACACCUCUCCCACAGAACAAGGAGUGCGGCGGAACGUCCUGCUCCUAGUGCUUGCCAGUGAUGUAAUCAGCUCUUGAAGAGGGGACACAGAAAUGUGGACUCAGGUCUUGGCAAUCACCAAAUGUGAAGGAGGAACUAAUUUCUCAAACACUGGCCCGAAUCCUAAACUCCUAAGCAAGGCCAAACUCCAGAUGAAGCCAAAGGGAGUUUGACCUGAGUGAGGACUUUAGGAUUUGGCCCACUGUGUUUUAAAGCACACACACACACACAAUUUCUUUUUGAAAUCCACAAUUUUAUUCCAUUACUGGGACCACGGUGCUGCACUCCCAUCCCCUGUCUUUCAACGGUUACUGAUUAAAGUCUUUUUUGCUCACCUUAGAGUGCAAGACGAAUAACUGUAGCCAAGCUGGUUGCAUGUCUCAAAACAAAAACUGAAUUUGUAAGUGCUAGGGAAUGUCUGCAGUGUGGGAAGGGAGAGGUAAUUGACAUUCCCUUGGGUAAACCUCUUUAAAAAUUCCGGACCUGGUUCCUUUGGAUUUAUUGUCAGUAGGCAUAGAAUAUGAUAAUGCUUAUUAAAAAAAAAACCCCAAACCAAUCAACAACAAAAAACAUAAGUUCAACUCCCCAGUGUCUCUGAAGGCUGAGAAAGGCAGAAGACACGGUGACCAUGACCUUAGUUUGAUCUUCAAACUAUUCAGUAAAAAAUGCUAGAUUAGUGCACAAAGCUAAAUGAGAACGCAAAAGGCCAAUAAAGGGCUUCUAAAUGGUCCUGAAAUAAACAAACAGUCUAAUUAGUGAGCCCAGGAAUCCCUCACACAGAAAGGGCUAAAUAUGCAAAUGAGGUCUAAGAGAGAAGAUUAGCAUUCUACAAACUAGACGAAGUGCAUACGCGCAUAGGAUAGCGCAUUUCUUUAUGAUCUGACGCUGCCACACGUCUCCCCGAGACUGCAGUAAGGCUCCAUUACCUGCGGGGGGGGUGUGCAGUAGUACAGAGCUGAUUAACUGCCGACUCCCCUGGGCUUGCCCAGAUUUCCAGAGAAGUCAUUAAUAGAAUUUGCGUGGCACCCCACUCCACAUAACGUUGAGAGAAGAUAGCCUCGAGAGGUAUCCUUCCCACUCUCCCAGCACACGCUGUAUGUCUAUACACACUGCUGCAUAUAUGCUAGAGACACAUUAUACACACCAUAGACUUGAUUAACCCCUGCUGUCACAAGAGGACAUGCAAGGAAUGACACUUUGUUAUUUGCCACCAUCCUCUUCCUGGCUUCUGUCUGAAAUGGGCAGCUUUGGGUUCCAGCCAGGGCCCCACCAGCAGAAGCCAAUUGCGGGAAAGUAAAUUCCUAUCACUUAUCCCAGCCCUUCACUGUUGCUGCUGACAACAGGUUAGUCUUUCUGAAAGCAGAACUUAUUUCUGGACACAAGUGCUGAGGUUUGGCAAAAUAUUUUUAACGGUGUCGUAUUUAAUCCAGGCAAUUCAGCUUCAGGGCCCUGUGUUUUUGAUUUUACCCUUUGAGAGGCUACAGUGAAGGCUUGGAUAUUAUUUAUUCAUUUAGAUUUACACACACCCUCAAAAAAAAGUAUCGUUCUCUGUGUUCUAGAUGCCCCAGCCAUAACCUAAGACUGCCCCAAAAUGAAUAUCCAAACAAAUACUAUAAUCCAGCAGCAGCAAACCAGCCAACUCAGAAUCUCAAAUCCCCUUCUUCCAAUGGUUCCUCACUCUUACCAUUCCUUCCUGUUUCAAAUGCCUGGGGAAGAAGACGGCUUUGCAGUGUGACCUGAAUGUCAUCAGACUGAGGCUAUUUUGGACCCCGGGGAGUCAUAGGGAGUGAAUUGCUUGAGAUCUGCCCUUCGUUAAUUCCACCUCUUUCCUGAAGUGUGGCACCCAGCUGACAAAGCUGUUUCAACAAGAGGACCCCGAAGAAUGCCUGCGCAUCAUCAUAUAUAAAGAAACUCUGGACCCAUCAGCCUCCCCACGGUUGCAAGGCUGUGACUGCCACUCCUGAGAGGGGCUGUUGCUGCAGUGAACGGUCACCUGGAGAGCCGCAGCUGGUGUAGAUCAGCAUAGCUCUGUGCCUUUCAGUGAUUUACUCCAGUAAAAAGUGCCAGAAGAAACCAAAAGUUGUCAGAUCUUUUAUGGUCAGGGGAUCUAGGACUGCGGUCUUAAAGAACACGGGUCACGAGUGCCCAAUGAAAGCUCUGACCUUGAAGGCCUGAAAGGUGGAACAAAGUGCGGGACAAUGGCUCCGGAUGGGGAAAGGCAAAUAGCCCAGCGGUUGAGGAAGUUGAAAACAAUGCAAGAUGCACAUUGCCGUAGCAAAGGUUGUUACAACAGUACAAGAAGUUUUUCUAUACCAAAGAUGCAAUACGUCAUUUGUGAUCCCGUAGGAAGCACUGCUGGGAGAGCAGGCCAGCGAAAAGGUCUAGAAGCUGAUGAGAUUUACACCAUUAAAUAAAAACAAACAAAAAGACCUCACUGGAGAAAAGAGCAGAGAAGUAGCAAAUGGCAUCAAAAUGAAACUGACCAAGUUCCAAGCUGGUGAAAGGAGGGAAUGUUUAAAGAUGCCAAGGGGCGUUGAAAAGCCCAGACUGGUCUCAGUCAACGACCUUGGGCUAGGACUGAGGCCAAUAAAGCAGUAUCCUAAGUUGAUGAUUCAGACUAACACGGCUACCCCUCUGAUGAUUGAGAUUCAGUGAGGCAGAAGCUGCAGAUGGUAGGAGCUGCAGAGGAGAAGGCUCUUGCACCAGCAAUGAGAAGAUUAUCAGAAGUGACAGAUUUGGAGACUAACUGGAAGGAUAUAUUUCCUCUAAGACACACCCAUCACCGUAAAGUCAGAUAACAGAACUAUAAUUCAGGAAAGAGUUGGCAUAGAGAAAUACAAGCUGGUAAAAUGAAGAGAAGCACCAUUUUGUGUGGAUUACUUAUAAAAGGUUAGUAGCUCUUUCAAGAUUUUCAUAUCCAUUCCCAUUUUACAAAACACAUUACAUUCUUUGUCCGCGCCACCAUGAAAAAGAACCGAUGCAAUUUUUGAAAAGAGCCGAAAAGAAAUACAACCGCUCCCAGAAAUUUCAUUUAGUGACACACUGAGAGUAAUAUACUCCGCUUUGCGCUAAGAUCAGCUAUCUUUUACUACACUAACGGGCUGAGUGUGGGAAUACAUAUCAUGCCGGCCAGUUGUCUGUCGUGGCUAGAAACACUUGUCGAAGGUAUAAAGAAGAUCUUUUGAAGAUCUGUGCAGAACAGCAAACAGCUGUUGGGCUGGAUCCCAAGCAGACAUUCGGAUCCAGGGGCCACAUUAUCCUGAAGUUCAGGGGGAUUUGGAUUCAAGGUUUUAGUUCUGGCCUGGCCCUUCCCUAACAACAGAUAGGAAGCUUUGCCUUGGGCAGAGACAUUUCUAGUAAAUCCUGAUGCUGUGUGGCGGACAAGAAACAGGAGCACAUUACCCUCUAUGCCCCCACUUAAACAGGGAUAGGUUGUUUUGCAGGAGAUGCUUCUGGGUAGUGCAGAAAGUAGGCAGAAAAUGGUCCCUUUCCAUUUCACUUGCCUGGUUUGGACCCAGCCCAGGUGUUUGUGUUCAGCCCAAGCCGCUGCACUGCCCGAUCCUAUCGCCGCCAAGCAGCAACGGCAGACGCUCGCUACAGUGAGUAUCAUUCCUCAAACAGACUGAAUGAUGCUAAACGUAAGGAGAUUGCUUUUCAGUGAACCUGAUGAUAUGCAGGACUGGCCUAGAAAAAAGAAAGGGAGAGAAUCUAAAGUCUAAACAGAUCUGUAGUUUCUCUGCUAGUUCAGAGCGUAAUCAAUUUUCAGCCUUUGGAAACUAAAAUAGCUCUGAUUUAUAAAAUUCCACAGUUCUCUUCUUUUCUCCUUUGUGUCUCCAUUGCCUUAUGAAGAGCUCAGAGUGUUUGCACUUUGUGAUCCCCAUGUGGGUAUCCAUAAUAACAAAGCUUUGCACUCCCAUAGCACCUUCCAUCUGAGGAUUUCAAAGAUAUUGAAGAGAGGUGGGCCUGGGGGCCUGACAUGUGGGGAGGUUAAGUGACUUGCACAAGGUGACAGAACAAGUCUAUGGCAGAGAUAUUGGGAGAAAUCCUGGCCCCGUUGAAGACAAUGGCAAAACUCCUAUUGACUUUAAUGGAGCCAGGCUUCCACCCGUAGAACAUAAGUGUGAAAUUAAAUGUGUGGUGUUUGUGUCAGCGCAGUGCUAUGUUAACAAACCAUGAGAAGCAGCUUGGCCUACAAGAGUGAGUUCUGCUUCUUGCUCUGUGAUUUUGUGGGCAUCUCACCUUAUCUCUGCCUCAAUGUCUCCAGCUAAUAAUAAUUAUCUACCUACUUCACAGGGGUGUUUCAAGCCAGCAUUGGUCCAGGACUUUGAGAGCUGUAUACGUACUAAGUCUCAUUAUGUCGCUUUUCACAACUGAGAGGAAUAUUCCCUCAUAGUUAUGGUUAAACAAUGAAGGUCAAGCAACCUCGAUUUGUUUUGAUUAUUGUAAACUAUCAUGAAAUAUCAAUUUACUUUGUGAAUGUUGGUUUCACAAACUCCAUGUUUGGAGUGCCUGGGAAGAAAUAGUCUCCCAAUGAUGAAGAAUACACUUUCAUUUCUGCAGUUCUGUGUUUCUCACAUGACAAAGAGAAACUGUAUAUGAAGCCCAGUUCUUUGUUGCCUCUAUUGGAAUAAAGGAAAUGUAUUGUCAGUUUCUUUAUUUCUGAUCCCAGUUUAACCCGUCAAUCAUCUGACUUGGAUCAAAGAAGUCACCUUAAAUAGGUAUGAAUGGAGACUUCUGAUUUAUCUUUAUUAUAGGAGAUAAAUAAAUGGCUUGUUUGUGCUUGUAAAUCAUAACAUUUCUAAAUAUAUUAGUCUCUCAGCCAACCUGCUGACUAAUAUAAUGUCUAUUUGUAUGGAUUUUUUUUCCUUUUCAGAUUACUUUGGUAUUGACUUAUUUCAAAUCAUAAUGCACAAAAUCACAGACUCUAAAUGGACGGGUUUAACACGGUGAUUAAUGAAAAUAUAAUCCCAGCUACUGUACAGCCAUCAGAAACCAGUUAGCUAAUUAGAGUAAUCACAGAGGUGGAAAUAAUUAAAAGAACAUAAAAUAGAGGUGGAGUAAUAACAACAUUUUCCUUAGUGACUUAAAACUGGUGAGCAAACGAUUAAACUCUAAUCAGUUUACUGAGGGGGGUAAGAAUAAAUGAAGAGUGGAUAGCAAAGGACUUAUGAGUAGCUACAGCAAAUAAGGACCAUUAGACUGCACCAGAGAAUGUAAGCAGAGUGGACUAGAGAGACUGCAAUGAGAUACAGUAGAAGGAAUAAUUGUACCAAGGACUGUUGGUGACCACUGAAAAUGCAUCAUUAAUAUAUAAUCUUUGCCUGUGUAUCUGUUAUAUAGCAUCUUCCAUCUAAGCUCAGCGUGCUUUAUAAAUAUGAAUUAAUUCAGCCUCAUAAGAAGUAUUAUUGUCCCCAUUUACACAUGUGGAAACUGAGUACUGAAUGGUUAAGUGACUUGCCCGAGGACUUUUGUAGUUUGUCAUCACCGAAAGCUCUGUAUAGACAGAAUUGUUCGUCGUAUUUAAUGGUUAGUAGAGGCCCUAAAUGUGAUUAGGCCGUUAUGAUAGGCACUGUACAAACACUUAGGCCUGGUCUAUAUCUAAAACUUUAGUUAACCUAGCUACGUUGCUCAGGACUUUGAAAAAUAUCACGCCCUGAUAUUACCACCCAACCCCCAGUGUAACCCCCAACUUCUCAAGGGAGUGGAUUUUCUACAGCCCUUCCAUGACUGGAGUACUGCCGUGCUGCUGUAGCACAGACAUUCCUGCACUGAAGAACCUAAGCGCUACAUGGAGAAGGCAAAGGAAAGGAUCCUUUCUCUGCUGUCUUAUUUCAUUAAAAUGCUGUACAAGA